GUUGGGCACAGUGGUGCAUGCCGGUAGUCCCAGCUCCUCAGGGGGCUGCAGCAGGAGGAUUGCUUGAGCCCAGGAGUUCUGGGCUGUAGUGCACUAUGCCCAUUGGGUAUUCAUACUAAGUUCGGCAUCAAUAUGGUGAUCUCCUGAGAGCAGGGGAUCUCUAGAUUGCCUAAGGAGAGGUAAAUGGCCCAGAUGAGAAAUGGAGCAGGUCAAAACUCUGUGCUGAUUAAUAGUGAGAUAGCACCUGAGAAUACCCACUGCACUCCAACCUGGGCAACACAGAAAGACACUGUGUCUU
ensembl:misc_RNA Metazoa_SRP Metazoan signal recognition particle RNA